GUGCAUGUGUUUUGGCUUUUUUAACUGUGUGUUAAAGUUUAUAAAUGACCCCUAUAGUCUCAACAAAUACACCAUACUCACUAGCAUAUAAACUUUACCUUUUCUCAAUUGCAGAUUAAAAGUCCAGACACUAAUUGGACUAAUGACACGGAUGCCAGUAGCCAUGAGAAAGCUACGCCCGUGAACAGACUGAAUCCACUGGCUCUGAUACGGAAAAAGAGAAAGAACAAGAAAUCUGUGAAGUUUGCAGACUCUCCCAAAUGUGAAUCUCCCAGUGAGAUAGUAAUAUCUCAGAGUGAAGAAGAAGAAAGGGAGAAGAUAUUUGUAGUGGUUGAGAGUGCUCCUGU